AAAGCUUUAGAAGAGACCAAAGCCUAUACAACCCAAUCUCUAGCUAGUGUUGCUUAUCAAAUAAAUGCAUUGGCCAACAAUGUACUCCAGUUGCUGGAUAUCCAAGCCUCUCAGCUUCGGAGAAUGGAGUCUUCCAUCAAUCAUAUCUCACAGACUGUGGAUAUUCAUAAAGAGAAAGUGGCUCGAAGAGAGAUUGGUAUUUUGACAACAAAUAAGAAUACAUCAAGAACUCACAAAAUAAUAGCACCUGCGAAUAUGGAGCGCCCUGUAAGGUAUAUUCGGAAACCUAUCGAUUACACAGUUCUGGAUGAUGUGGGCCAUGGUGUCAAGGUAAGCAUUUUAUGUUACAUUAACAAACUAAUUUGCAUAUCCAGUAAAUAUUUUGGAUAGGAAAUAUUGUGAUAAAGAUGAUUUUAAUUAAUAGAGUCUCUUUAGCAGCUAGCAUUAUAAUUUUCAUACAAUAUUUAAAACACAUUUUACUAAGGUUGGGGUGCAAUUUUAUCAGUUCAAUAGGCUGUAUUAAAAAGAUAUUAAAAUUAGAAAUGGUUAUUAAGCCAUAAAUCCUAGACAAAUAUUACCCAUAUGUGUUGUGAAUUCUGUCUUUCUUUCACUACUGAACAUUUAAAAAUAAAAAUCUACAUGCUUUUCAAAAUUGCUUUAGAAAAUAUAAAUACUUGUAUCGUUUCAUUUCUAAAUAUGUAUAUAUAUUUAUAUAUCUGUGUGUGUAUAUAUAAUGCCAGCAACUUAUUAAAAAAUGAAAAUUGUA
rnacentral:sRNA from 1 species